UUAAUGCAUACAAAUGAUGAGGAUCUUGUUCAUGAAAUAGAAGAUGAACUGGAAAACAAUUGGAAAAUUUUGAAUGCAAAGAGAAUGAAGUCCUUUCCAAUUUUACGAAGGUCUGUAAGGCAAAACGAGUGGCAUCAAUGGAGAUGACGAUGGAUGAUGGGUUUGAAUGGAAAGUAGAAGAACAUAAAAAGUAGAAACUAAAGACACUAGCAGAGAAAGGAUUAUUGAAGAAAAGGAGUAAGAAGAGAACGCAUGGAACAUUUGCUAAAAUUAGUGAUCAGUGAUAAAAUCUUAUAUAAUCUCAACCCAAUCCUUACCAUCCAAGUAAGCUCCAUUUUGUACAGGAGCUGCUUGGAUACAAGUGAAGUGAUUAAAUUGUUUUUAUUUUUUUGUUUACACCCACUCUCCUUGUCAUGAAAUACCCUUUUGUGUUCUUUAAAAUAGCUGUUGUCGAAUAUAAAAAAUUAUUGGAUAAGUUUUUGUAUUAUUCCUUAUUUAUUGAAGAAAUUCUUCGAAGGAAAAGUUAUCCAAA